rnacentral:rRNA from 1 species
AGGACGAACGCUGGCGGCGUGCUUAACACAUGCAAGUCGAGCGGUAAGGCCUCUUCGGGGGUACACGAGCGGCGAACGGGUGAGUAACACGUGGGCGACCUGCCCUCAGCUCUGGGAUAAGCCUGGGAAACUGGGUCUAAUACCGGAUAUGACUUCACAUCGCAUGGUGUGUUGUGGAAAGCCUGGUCUUAAUUGAUUCGGCGGCUGGGGAUGGGCCCGCGGCCUAUCAGCUUGUUGGUGGGGUGAUGGCCUACCAAGGCGACGACGGGUA